rnacentral:misc_RNA from 1 species
AACACUGUUAACCUGCGGUACCUGCGGAGGGAUCAUUACAGAGUUUAGGGUCUAUGGUGGCCCAAACCCUUCCAACCCCCUUGGUGUCUCUACCAUCCUGUUGCUUCGGCAGGCUCCAAUGGUGCCUGUCGGAGCCUUACCUGCAAUAGAAUCUUGUCAUAAAUGUUGGUCUGAUCUCUUAGAACAUGAAAUUUAAAUAAAAACUUUCAGCAACGGAUCU